rnacentral:rRNA from 1 species
AACGAACGCUGGCGGCGUGCCUAACACAUGCAAGUCGUGCGAGAAAGUUCCUUCGGGAGCGAGUAAAGCGGCGCACGGGUGAGUAACACGUAGGUAACCUGCCCCCCAGUCUGGAACAACUAGAGGAAACUCUAGCUAAUGCCGGAUGAGACCACGAUCCCUUCGGGGGUUGCGGCCAAAGAUGGCCUCUACUUGUAAGCUAUCGCUGAGGGAUGGGCCUGCGGGCCAUUAGCUUGUUGGUGAGGUAACGGCUCACCAAGGCUGUGAUGGCUAGCUGGUCUGAGAGGAUGAUCAGCCACACUGGGACUGAGACACGGCCCAGACUCUUACGGGAGGCAGCAGUGGGGAAUCUUGGACAAUGGGCGAAAGCCUGAUCCAGCCAUGCCGCGUGAAUGAUGAAGGCCCUAGGGUUGUAAAAUUCUUUCGACGGGGAAGAUAAUGACGGUACCCGUAGAAGAAGCUCCGGCUAACUUCGUGCCAGCAGCCGCGGUAA